rnacentral:pre_miRNA from 1 species
AGUGGGAUACUGGGUUAAAUGGAAAUUCCAUUCUUAGUUUUUUGAGGAAUAUCCAUAUUGCUUUUCAGAGUGGGUAGACCAAUUUGCAGUCCCACCAGCAAU